CUACGGGCUGCUGCAGUGGGGAAUAUUGGACAAUGGGCGCAAGCCUGAUCCAGCCACGCCGCGUGAGUGAUGAAGGCCCUAGGGUUGUAAAGCUCUUUCGCCGGUGAAGAUAAUGACGGUAACCGGUAAAGAAGCCCCGGCUAACUUCGUGCCAGCAGCCGCGGUAAUACGAAGGGGGCUAGCGUUGUUCGGAAUUACUGGGCGUAAAGCGCACGUAGGCGGACAUUUAAGUCAGGGGUGAAAUCCCGGGGCUCAACCCCGGAACUGCCUUUGAUACUGGAUGUCUUGAGUCCGGAAGAGGUGAGUGGAAUUGCGAGUGUAGAGGUGAAAUUCGUAGAUAUUCGCAGGAACACCAGUGGCGAAGGCGGCUCACUGGUCCGGUACUGACGCUGAGGUGCGAAAGCGUGGGGAGCAAACAGGAUUAGAUACCCGUGUAGUC
rnacentral:rRNA from 1 species